rnacentral:rRNA from 1 species
CCUACGGGAGGCAGCAGUGAGGAAUAUUGGUCAAUGGUCGUGAGACUGAACCAGCCAAGCCGCGUGAGGGAUGAAGGUACAGAGUAUCGUAAACCUCUUUUGUCAGGGAACAAAGUCGGGGACAUGUCCCCGGAUGAAUGUACCUGAAGAAAAAGCAUCGGCUAACUCCGUGCCAGCAGCCGCGGUAAUACGGAGGAUGCGAGCGUUAUCCGGAUUUAUUGGGUUUAAAGGGUGCGCAGGCGGUCUGUAAAGUCAGCGGUCAAAGCCCGGGGCUCAACCCCGGCCCGCCGUUGAAACUGGCAGGCUCGAGUUGGAGAGAAGUAUGCGGAAUGCGCGGUGUAGCGGUGAAAUGCAUAGAUAUCGCGCAGAACCCCGAUUGCGAAGGCAGCAUGCCGGCUCAACACUGACGCUGAGGCACGAAAGCGUGGGUAUCGAACAGGAUUAGAUACCCUGGUAGUC